UAAGAGGUACCAUCUAUUAUUUUUUUAAAUAUAGAUGGUGGCACAGAAUCGGAGGCCCCGACUGUUUACUAAAAACACAACACAGUGCAAUCAUUAAUGUGAUAGUAUACUGUGUGAAAUUUGCCCAAUGCCAUUAAUAUAAGAGCGGUCAUAUAUAAAUGUGACUAAUUGAAAAUCUGGUUAAUAGCGGUCUUAACCAUGAGGAUCAUAAGGUAGCAAAAUAAAUUGGCCAUUAAAUGUGGUCCGGUAUCAAUAAUGUUACGAUGGCCUCACUGUCUCUACAACUUGCUCAGUGAAAUUGAAUU
rnacentral:rRNA from 1 species